CCUACGGGAGGCAGCAGUGAGGAAUAUUGGUCAAUGGGCGUAAGCCUGAACCAGCCAAGUCGCGUGAGGGAUGAAGGUUCUAUGGAGCGUAAACUUCUUUUAUAAGGGAAGAAAGUGUGGGAGGUGUCCGAUUUUGUAUGUACCUUAUGAAUAAGGAUCGGCUAACUCAGUGCAAGAAGCCGCGGUAAUACGUAGGAACCUAGCGUUAUCCGGAUUUAUGGGGUUUAAAGGGUGCGUCGGCGGCCUUUUAAGUCGGCGGGGAAAGUCUGGGGCUCAACCAUAGAAUGGCCGUUGAAACUGGGGGGCUUUAGUAUGUUUGAGGCAGGCGGAAUGCUUGGUGUCGCGGUGA
rnacentral:rRNA from 1 species